GUUUUAACAGUUUUAAAAACAUUGGUCUUGUAAACCAAAGAUGAGAGAAGCCCCCCUCUCUUAAAACU
rnacentral:tRNA from 1 species